AGAGGCUCUUUCCAGCAUACGGCCCUUUGUAGAGAAACUGACUCACAUUAUUGGCGUUGUUUAACAGAUAACAUGAAGAAGAGGACACUAACGGAUCGCUAACCAACACAUCAUAUGCUCCUAUAUAUUGGACUCCUUCAAGCGGACGACGAUUGAUGGUAUCAAUGUUGUUUGAUAGACGGCGCUGUAAAACUAAAGGCGCAUUACACGUCCGUCUCUAGGUUACAUACAUGAACAAAUAAGACAUACCAAAGACAAUUUGGAUUAUAUUAAGGAUAACGCAAAUGUUAUACCACACUAGUGAUGGUAGAACAAUAAUAAGAAAUGUUAAUACUUAAGAAUGUUAACCUAAGCAAAAAUUGUAAACAAAGCAAAGAUUGCACUAUAUAGAUACUGCACUCAGAGCUGUAAGAAUAUGUUAAAAGUAUCUUAAGUAGUCGUAAACAAUGUAUACACAAUGUUCCGAACGAUGUUAUUAGUUUAAGCAACUGUUAAGCCGUAUAUAAUGUAACACAAUGAGCUUGUACACAUAGUUAAGCUAGACAUAAGUAACGUUCAGCCAAUUGCCAGACAAUGUUAAGAUAAUCAAUGAGGUAGAAAGGAAGAAAACGACUCAAAGAAGGAAAAGGAGCCCAAGAAGACUGCCAAGGAGUCCAAGAAAGAAACCCCCAAAGCCGCAGAGCAAAACAAAAACAAUGAUCAGUCCACGAUUGAUCUCUUUACAGCCAAGAAAGCGGACACCAGCAAGAAAGAGAAGCCAGAAGUUAAGACUGCGGAGAAAGGCAAGAAGAAAGAUCAAACCACAGACGAUUCCAAGCCAAAAGAAGCUCCCAAAAAGGAUACACCAAAAACCUUAGGGAAGCCAAAGAAGGAGGAAUCAGUAGAAAAGAGCAACAAAGAAGAAAAGUCCCAGAAAGAAAAAGAAGAAGACUCACCUGCCGCCAGUAAUCAAAAAUAAACAAGCAGGAAGAGUAAAGGCAAAAAACAGAAGGAGGAGGUCAACCAGAAGGAAGAAAACGACUCAAGGAAGGAAAAGGACCCCAAGAAGACUACCAAGAAGUUCAACAUUCGACGCAAGCGUUACAUAGGAAUUGGCGAUAACACAACAGACAAUCGGAUACAUGAGAUAACAUGAAGAAGAGGACACUAACGGAUCGCUAACCAACACAUCAUAUGCUCCUAUAUAUUGGACUCCUUCAAGCGGACGACGAUUGAUGGUAUCAAUGUUGUUUGAUAGACGGCGCUGUAAAACUAAAGGCGCAUUACACGUCCGUCUCUAGGUUACAUACAUGAACAAAUAAGACAUACCAAAGACAAUUUGGAUUAUAUUAAGGAUAACGCAAAUGUUAUACCACACUAGUGAUGGUAGAACAAUAAUAAGAAAUGUUAAUACUUAAGAAUGUUAACCUAAGCAAAAAUUGUAAACAAAGCAAAGAUUGCACUAUAUAGAUACUGCACUCAGAGCUGUAAGAAUAUGUUAAAAGUAUCUUAAGUAGUCGUAAACAAUGUAUACACAAUGUUCCGAACGAUGUUAUUAGUUUAAGCAACUGUUAAGCCGUAUAUAAUGUAACACAAUGAGCUUGUACACAUAGUUAAGCUAGACAUAAGUAACGUUCAGCCAAUUGCCAGACAAUGUUAAGAUAAUCAAUGAGGUAGAAAGGAAGAAAACGACUCAAAGAAGGAAAAGGAGCCCAAGAAGACUGCCAAGGAGUCCAAGAAAGAAACCCCCAAAGCCGCAGAGCAAAACAAAAACAAUGAUCAGUCCACGAUUGAUCUCUUUACAGCCAAGAAAGCGGACACCAGCAAGAAAGAGAAGCCAGAAGUUAAGACUGCGGAGAAAGGCAAGAAGAAAGAUCAAACCACAGACGAUUCCAAGCCAAAAGAAGCUCCCAAAAAGGAUACACCAAAAACCUUAGGGAAGCCAAAGAAGGAGGAAUCAGUAGAAAAGAGCAACAAAGAAGAAAAGUCCCAGAAAGAAAAAGAAGAAGACUCACCUGCCGCCAGUAAUCAAAAAUAAACAAGCAGGAAGAGUAAAGGCAAAAAACAGAAGGAGGAGGUCAACCAGAAGGAAGAAAACGACUCAAGGAAGGAAAAGGACCCCAAGAAGACUACCAAGAAGUACAAGAAAGAACCCCCUAAAUAUUGUUUAUUAAUACGCUUUUUUACAGGUUCAACAUUCGACGCAAGCGUUACAUAGGAAUUGGCGAUAACACAACAGACAAUCGGAUACAUGAGGUUGGCUAUAACAGAGGCUCUUUCCAGUAUACGGCCCUCUGUAGAGAAACUGACUCACAUUAUUGGCGUUGUUUAACAGAUAACAUGAAGAAGAGGACACUAACGGAUCGCUAACCAACACAUCAUAUGCUCCUAUAUAUUGGACUCCUUCAAGCGGACGACGAUUGAUGGUAUCAAUGUUGUUUGAUAGACGGCGCUGUAAAACUAAAGGCGCAUUACACGUCCGUCUCUAGGUUACAUACAUGAACAAAUAAGACAUACCAAAGACAAUUUGGAUUAUAUUAAGGAUAACGCAAAUGUUAUACCACACUAGUGAUGGUAGAACAAUAAUAAGAAAUGUUAAUACUUAAGAAUGUUAACCUAAGCAAAAAUUGUAAACAAAGCAAAGAUUGCACUAUAUAGAUACUGCACUCAGAGCUGUAAGAAUAUGUUAAAAGUAUCUUAAGUAGUCGUAAACAAUGUAUACACAAUGUUCCGAACGAUGUUAUUAGUUUAAGCAACUGUUAAGCCGUAUAUAAUGUAACACAAUGAGCUUGUACACAUAGUUAAGCUAGACAUAAGUAACGUUCAGCCAAUUGCCAGACAAUGUUAAGAUAAUCAAUGAGGUAGAAAGGAAGAAAACGACUCAAAGAAGGAAAAGGAGCCCAAGAAGACUGCCAAGGAGUCCAAGAAAGAAACCCCCAAAGCCGCAGAGCAAAACAAAAACAAUGAUCAGUCCACGAUUGAUCUCUUUACAGCCAAGAAAGCGGACACCAGCAAGAAAGAGAAGCCAGAAGUUAAGACUGCGGAGAAAGGCAAGAAGAAAGAUCAAACCACAGACGAUUCCAAGCCAAAAGAAGCUCCCAAAAAGGAUACACCAAAAACCUUAGGGAAGCCAAAGAAGGAGGAAUCAGUAGAAAAGAGCAACAAAGAAGAAAAGUCCCAGAAAGAAAAAGAAGAAGACUCACCUGCCGCCAGUAAUCAAAAAUAAACAAGCAGGAAGAGUAAAGGCAAAAAACAGAAGGAGGAGGUCAACCAGAAGGAAGAAAACGACCCAAGGAAGGAAAAGGACCCCAAGAAGACUACCAAGAA